GCGACCCCAGAUCAGGCGGGACUACCCGCUGAGUUUAAGCAUAUCAAUAAGCGGAGG
rnacentral:rRNA from 12 species